ACUGAAUUCUCCAUUUGCUCUUUUCACAAAAUAACUCAAAUCUGCCACUCUCACUACAAAUUUCAACUUUGCCACUUUCAGCUGGUGCGGCGCGAUUAGGACGUAACUUUUGAUUGAAUUUCUUAAAGUUAGCCUUCAAGUUCAAGUUCAAAAUACAGGUGUGGGAUUUAUUUCAGUACAUGCACGUGGUUAAUAUUUGUCCAUUUUAAUAUUAUGUGUUUACCGUAUGUGUUGUAAAAAUAUUUAUCGCUAGGGGCCAGCAUAAUUGGUCCAGGACUUCACCGUCCUUGGUAUGCCACAAUGCGAUUUCAUGUUACAAGGUUGCAACCAUUAUAUUGUCGCCAGGGAUCCAUAUAUAGGGUCCGGGACAUUAAAGUCCUUGGAGUUGCCACAGUGCGUAUGGAAGUUAUGUUACGUUAUGACAAUAUGUGUUACCAUUUUAUUAACAUGGACAAUUAUUGCAUGUUCCCACACUGAGUGUACCCUGUAUGCUCAUCCCAUAUUCAACAGUUUCAGGUGAUUGAUAUCGGAGGCGCGUGGAGAGUCGAAUGAGCGCGUCACAUCUAUUUAAAAAUAAAUGUUUCUUAAAACAUAUUGUGUUAUUUCAUGUGAUAUUUUUGGUUAUGUAAACUCUGAAAUUCUAUAUUAUUUGAGAUUUGUGUGUGAUUUAUUUAAAUAAAUGUUGUUAUAUUAUUUUAAUGUCAUGACUUGUUUAAUCUAUAUUUAAAUUCAUUUCAAAUAUUUA